rnacentral:tRNA from 1 species
GCUGUCGUGGUACAGUGGUCUACACGUUUGCUUCAUAAGCAGAUGGUCAUGGGUUCGAUCCCAGCCCCGGCA